rnacentral:rRNA from 1 species
GCAGAUUGGCCGCAAGGCUGGUCUGAGUGGCGAAUGGGUGCGUAACACGUAGGUGACCUGCCCGGAAGUGGGGAAUAACAGUCCGAAAGGACUGCUAGUACCGCAUACGGUGCGCUGGGUUUGAGACCGGCGUUCCAAAGGUUUUCGCGAGAAAGCCGCUUUCGGAGGGGCCUGCGGCCCAUCAGCUAGUUGGUAGGGUAAUGGCCUACCAAGGCGACGACGGGUAGGGGACCUGAGAGGGUGACCCCCCACACUGGCACUGACACACGGGCCAGACUCCUACGGGAGGCAGCAGUCGGGAAUAUUGCCCAAUGGACGAAAGUCUGAGGCAGCAACGCCGCGUGCGCGAUGAAGGCCUUCGGGUCGUAAAGCGCUUUUCGGGUGGAUGAGAGAGGACAGUACACCCGGAAUCAGGAACGGCUAACUACGUGCCAGCAGCCGCGGUAAAACGUAGGUUCCGAGCGUUAUCCGGAUUUACUGGGCGUAAAGCGCGUUCAGGCGGUUGGACAAGUCGGGCAUGAAAUCUCUGGGCUCAACCUAGAGAGGUUGUCCGAUACUGUCUGACUUGAGGGCAGUAGAGGGUGGUGGAAUUCCGGGUGUAGUGGUGGAAUGCGUAGAGAUCCGGAGGAACACCAGUGGCGAAAGCGGCCACCUGGACUGUACCUGACGCUGAAACGCGAAAGCUAGGGGAGCGAACGAGAUUAGAAACCCCGGUAGUCCUAGCUAUAAACGAUGUUGACUAGGUGUCGGCGGUCUAAACCCUGCCGGUGCCGGAGCAAACGCAUUAAGUCAAC